rnacentral:rRNA from 1 species
GUAUCCUACGGGGGGCAGCAGUGGGGAAUAUUGCACAAUGGGGGAAACCCUGAUGCAGCAACGCCGCGUGAAGGAAGACGGUUUUCGGAUUGUAAACUUCUGCUCUUAGUGAAGAAUAAUGACGGUAGCUAAGGAGCAAGCCACGGCUAACUGCGUGCCAGCAGCCGCGGUAAUACGUAGGUGGCAAGCGUUGUCCGGAAUUACUGGGUGUAAAGGGAGCGCAGGCGGGAAGCCAAGUCAGCUGUGAAAACUACGGGCUUAACUUGUAGACUGGAGGUGAAAAUGGUUUUCUUGAGUGAAGUAGG